GCAGAUCUGCAGAAUCCAGGAGAGCUUUGGUUGAUACAGUAAGGAGGUCAGAGAAUUGGUAGUUUCAAUUGUGUCUGGCGUACUGUAAGUCAAUAUCUUCGAUAGUGAAUAUCUACUGGCUUGUGCCCGGAGUUUUUACCCAGUUGGGUUUUCUCCGUCAACAUUUUGUGGUGUUUUUAUUGUUUUUACUAUUUUUCGUUAUUUACUUUUCAACCGAAAAUUCAACUUAGGUAGAUAAAAGUAUGUGAAUGAAUCUAGGCAAUGCUUAAU
rnacentral:lncRNA from 1 species